ACUGACCAGGUCACCUGCAGCGCGGGCUGACGGCGGGCGACUGAAGGAGGGAGCAAGUCUCCCACCCCCAGCAGCCGGCGGCCGCUUCCGAAGUCUGCCCCCUUCCACUGCGGAGCGGCGCCCCGCGGGCCCCCAGCCAGCGCGCCCGAGGCGCCCCCGCCCCGUGUCGCUCGCGCUGCGUUAUUGGGAGAAGGCGGUUCCUGAGCACCAGCACGGGCCUCGGUGACACCGGAGGUCGCUGGGGUCUUCCCCUUCCCCUUAAGACUCUGGGUCUGUCUGUGGGAAGAGCUUUCAUUCCCCACCCCACUCUAUGCCGACCCUCUCCGGGGGAGGCUCCACUGGCACUGUAGACACCACGUGCUGGGUAAAAAGGCCUGGUCCCAGCGCUUCCCUGUCACUGACUGCUAACCACAAGGCGCCGUGGCACUCAGGAAAUGCGGCAGGGGGGCUGGAGAACUAUCAGGAAGGGGUGUGGGCAGAGAAGAGGCUUCCACCCUGUCUUGGAACACGGACACAGUCCAUGGCAUUCAAAAGAGGUGGGAGGCUCCUCUGUGCACGUGCCUUCCGCCCCCGGGACAGGUGGAGGAGGGGAUUUGACUGGUCCUCACCCUCUGCAUUUAUAGUCUGGGCACACCUUGGGCAGUGCCGCAGGAGGGCGCUGUGGAGUACAGGCACAUGCAGAAGGUGUGGCGAGGGCUUCCUGGUGGAGCUGGCAGUAGGGCAGGGACCUUGAAAAGGAAUGAUUUGAACAGAUCGGAAAAGACAUUCCAGACAGAAACAAAUGCCUGAAACCCAAACCGAGAAGCAGGAAAGAGCAGACUGCGUUCUCGGAAUGGCAGGGAGUCCAGUUUGACUGGAAGACCUGAGGCUCAGAGGCGCAUCACGGCCCAGAUGCAGACCACAGAGGCAGGCACAGUGGCCCAGGAGGACCGAGGACCUGGAGUCACGGGGUUCCGCCCGCUGCCCCUGGGGAACCGAGUCAUGCCAGUUCCCAGACAGAUGAAUUCCUUCCAAGAAUUCCACAGUCCUGCUCAAUCCUAGCCGCCAAGCCUCCUGGCCUUGGAUGGCUGCUGUCUAAUGCAGAUCCUCUUUCAUCCAGAUUUCAAAUAUUUUUCCUAUUCUGUCCUUUGAUCACUAACGUUUAUGUUUAUCUACAUCAGCAUCCCUCAAUCCUGACGGCACUCUGAAAUUAUCUAGGGGUGCUUUAAAAAAGAAAAAUGUUGAUGCAUGGCCCUCCUCCAGGAAAUCUGAUUUUAUUGGUCUGGGGUGGGGCCCAGGCAUCAGCAGACUUUUAAUGAGCAGUUAGAGAGGAGAACCACUGAUGGAGAUGGUCACCAGGGAGUGUCCAGGUCAGACCGCCACAGAAGAGUGCAGCCUCCUGGCCUUCAGACCCAACUGGGACAAACCCUGAGAACAGCCUUGGCAGACCUCCAGGGGCAGCUGGACUCCCUGAGGCUGGAUGUUGCAGCCUCUCCCAGGCAUCCACUCUGCAGCUGAGGCCAAAGUUUCCAACGGGAAGGGAGGGUGAGGCUUCUAUUUGUUUCCCAAGAGCCAGCUGACCUUUGAAGCUAGUGAUAACCACCACAAACCUCACUGGUGGGAGAACGAGGCACUGCAGCCAGUUCUCAUCAACCCCACAUCCCUGCAGGGGGCCCCAAGGCGGAUGUGUCACCAUCCUCUGCAACGCUGGGCCUCAGAGGUGGAGGAGGCCCAGCCAUGGCCAGAUGGGGGAUCUGGGGAACAGGUCCUCUGCUUUCUGGGAAAAUAGAGGAGAGUCUCCGAGUCUGGGCCUUGCCACUCCUCACUCAGCAUCUGACCAUCCCCACCUCCUGGAUCUACAGGGUUCAUAGAGGAGGACCCAGAAGAGGGAAAGUCAGGCUGAGGAACUUGGCCUCCCUGCUGCAAGGGAAAUGACAUCGGUUACCAAGGAGGUGACCAGCUAUCCUUUUCCAAGACUGAAAAGCAGAAAUACGGCCCUGAGGCUAGAGGGUCUAAGAGAACAAUAGGAAGAAUUUCCUGACAAAGGACAAUGUUGCCUAAAGGACUCAGGAAGCUCUGUGAAAACAGGAGACUCCCGAGCAGAGCACCAGACCCUUCUCCACCAGGCAGUGUUUUUCCCAUAUGACAGGUGAGAAAACUGAGGCUGAGAGACAUGUAAUAACUUGCUGAAGCAGCAACCAGCACACCAUAUAGCUGAAAUCUGUAGAUCAGCAGUUAAAAGUGGUAGGGCAAGUCCUCUCUGACUUUCAGCGCUAAGAGCCUAGGAUUCUGUGUUUUUCUGCUUAAGCCUGGGAAUCAGAGUCCUACAAAAGCCGCGCCUAAUCCUGGGGGUGUGGGCUUUAAACCCAGAGAGAAAGCAUGUUAUUGGAAUACUCCUGCACUUUUCUCCCUUUGAAUCCCACCACGGAAAGAAAAUUCUGUGACGUGUACCCAGUAUUUAUUGGAGGGUAUUUCCUAGCAAGAAAAUGAGGGCGAUUGACCAGGCACGGUGGCUCACGCCUGUAAUCCCAGCACUUUGGGAGGUCAAGGUGAGUGGAUCACAUGAGGUCAGGAGUUCGAGACCAGCCUGACCAACAUGGAGAAACCCCGUCUCUACUAAAAAUACAAAAUUAGCCGGGCGUGGGGUGGCGCAUGCCUGUAAUUCCAGCUACUCCUGAGGCUGUGGCAGCAGAAUCGCUUGAACCCGGGAGACAGAGGUUGCAGUGAGUUGAGAUCAAGCCAUCGCACUCCAGCCUGGGCAACAGAGUGAGACUCUGUCAAAAAAGAAAGUGUGGUACAUCUAUACUAAUGGAGUACUAUUUAGCCGUCAAAGAAAAAAAAGAAAAGAAAAAGAAAGAGAAAGAAAGAAAGAAGGAAAGAAAGAAAGAAAAAGAAAAUGAAGGCGAUUGUCAACAGCCUCUGGAAAUACAGAGCAGGGUCCAGAAAUGGCCCCUUCUUAGAUGGCGGGCUGGACAGUGCUGCUCCUUCUUAGCCACUGGCGGCAGAAAGACAAAGCCUGGUAAUUGUUCUUGGGAUUCUCCCUGUCACCUCUCCUUGUAGGUCACAAGCUUCCUGAUGCGACAGCCCGUGGGACUACUAGAAGGAAAGAUACUCCUUUUCCCAUUUUACAGAUCAGGAAACUGAGACUGGACAGAAACACCACCAGGAUUGAACUGUGAAUGGAUCUGACUCCAACCCACAAAUUCUUCACCUGGUCUCGAAAAGAGGCCCUGGCAACCUACUGCGCACCAGAGGGGAACCCGCCCGCCGUCCCAGGCCGGGCUCUCCCUGCUGCGGAGCGGCCCGGGCGCGGCGGGACAGGGAACGGAAGGAACGGGCUUGGCGCGCACUCGCCGAGGCCCAGGCAGGAUUCGAGCGCCAGGGAGGCGCCCAUUUCCCUUCCCCCGCGCCUGGGAACGCGGUGCUGGGGGCGGGGCCCGACCGCUGCCCCCUCCAAACGCCUCGACCGCCAGGUGCCCCGAAGCCCGGCCUCCCCUCCCACCCCCGCGCCUGUUCCCGGCGCAGCCCGAGCCGUGGCAGUCACGUCUCCCCAUCCGGCCCCAAAGAACCAUGGCGCGGACGGAAAAACGAAGCCAUGGUG
rnacentral:lncRNA from 1 species